GAUGAACGCUGGCGGCGUGCCUAAUACAUGCAAGUCGAGCGAACAGACGAGAAGCUUGCUCCUCUGAUGUUAGCGGCGGACGGGUGAGUAACACGUGGAUAACCUACCUAUAAGACUGGGAUAACUUCGGGAAACCGGAGCUAAUACCGGAUAAUAUAUUGAACCGCAUGGUUCAAAAGUGAAAGACGGUUUUGCUGUCACUUAUAGAUGGAUCCGCGCUGCAUUAGCUAGUUGGUAAGGUAACGGCUUACCAAGGCAACGAUGCGUAGCCGACCUGAGAGGGUGAUCGGCCACACUGGAACUGAGACACGGUCCAGACUCCUACGGGAGGCAGCAGUAGGGAAUCUUCCGCAAUGGGCGAAAGCCUGACGGAGCAACGCCGCGUGAGUGAUGAAGGUCUUCGGAUCGUAAAACUCUGUUAUUAGGGAAGAACAAAUGUGUAAGUAACUAUGCACGUCUUGACGGUACCUAAUCAGAAAGCCACGGCUAACUACGUG
rnacentral:rRNA from 1 species